GUCACCUUGUCCCAGCAAUGCCGGCUCUCAAAGAGGCUUAGAUGGAAGACCCCAGUCCCUCAUGGAGAGGCUGUGUCCAGGAUCCUGGAGACUGUUUCCUGCUGCAGGAGGUUUGAGCGGGGAGAGAUCACUCACUGUCACGACCCAGGGGUCUCCGACCCAGGUCUGCAGGGUUCAUGGGAGCAGCCACACUCCAACCCUCCGCCUCAAAGCCUGCUGAAAAUUGCUUACCUCGGACCCAUGAAGUUCAGCCCCAGUUUGAGGCUCCACUCCUGAGGUCCUAUUGGAGGAGUCCCAGGAAAGCUCACUGGCCCCCUGGCCCUGCGUAAGACAGCAGCAGGAACACGAAGCUGACUGAACACCAGGCCUGCUCCCUGUUCUGGACCGUGAGCUGCCUGGUUCUGCUGCCGCUCCCCUGGCUUGAUUUCCUGACAUCUGAGUUGUGGUGGUGAUUGCACGUUUGUCUUUUGCUGCUGAUCUUCCAGUAUCCUGACCCGGCUGACUCUCCAUUCCUGUCAUGGCUCCCCAUGCAUCCUGGAGCUGAACACCAGAUGGGAGCUGAUGGAUUAUCCUUGGUGGGCCAUGUUCUUGUGUGUGAUGAGAGGGCCAGGAGCAGAUGCACCAUGCCUGGCCAGGACCGGGCUAAACAGCCUGUAAUGCUAGAUAGUCAGCCGGUGAGGCCACUUUGCAGAAUGUGGAAGAGCCCUUUGGCGAGGCGUUGGAGG